CCCUUAGAUGUUCUGGGCCGCACGCGUGCUGCACUGAGUGGAUCAGCGGGUCAGGUUGCGCGAAAGCGUUUCCUAAUCUUUAAAUCCGCUCGUGAUGGGGAUUGACGGUUGCAAUUUUCUGUCAUGAACGAGGAAUACCUUGUAAGCGCGGGUCAUCAUCCCGCGCUGAAUACGUCCCUGCCCUUUGUACACACCGCCCGUCGCUCCUACCGAUUGAGUGGUCCGGUGAGGCUUUGGGAUCUGAGCGGAAAGAGCGUUUCGCUGUUUCUGCUCGGAAAACUCAGUCGAACCUUAUCAUUUAGAGGAAGGAGAAGUCGUAACAA
rnacentral:rRNA from 1 species